AUCGAACUGUUUGCCCGGCGGUCGCUCAGUCGCGUCCCGUAGGAAUGUUUGCCCGGCGGGCGAGGAUGGGUUCCUGUGUUGCGUACCCACGUAGCGGAAUUCUUUACUGUUGCCGAACGUUGAAUUCUUCUCGUGCCUAUCGUAGGCACGCGAUGAACCGCGCAGUGCGUCCCGUGUCCCUCGCAUGUCGAAUCGUCUGCGUUGGCCCAGGGGAAUGCGCUCGUGCUCUCGGAUGCGGAACACCGUGCGAGCGGAGGGAUUAAGUUUCCUCGUUGAGCUCGUAGUCCCUCGGAAAAGUACACCGGCAUGCCCGUGUCGCGUCCUCGGGGGAUCCCCC
rnacentral:misc_RNA from 1 species